UGCUCGCUCGCCCAUUGACACGACACUCUUGGCGGCGGCAUCGGCCGCGGAUGGAGUCGUCGAGCGUCCUCGAGGAGGAGCUCUCCCGCCGGUACAAACUCUCCCCCCUCAAGGAGUCAUCGCCAGAACGACGACAUGAUUUCCUCCUAUCUACCGCCUCCGCCACGCGGCGGUCCCCAGGCUCGAGAUCUUCGCCUCCUUAAUUCAGCGUCGGGCACGACAAGGUCAACCCUGCCAAGUCCCGGAAGCGGCAAAUCCGGGUCACCGUCAUCACCGGCGUCCUCACCGCGGACCUGGGUAACCUUGCCAUCGGUCUCUCCAUUGCCGUCCUGCACCUCCACGAGGCCGACCACUACAUCCGGAUGGGAUUUCAAACUCGCCACCAGGGGGUAAAAUAGUUUACUGUAAGAAGUAUUUGGUUGCCUAUAAGCUGCUACUCAAGAACAGAGAAACUGAUACCAAUUACAAGAACUACUCUUAGAAGCAGUUUCUUCUGUUAAGACUUCCAUCCGACUGUACAGAAUCCUCUAAUGAGUCACCCAACAAUGGACUUCCGGUGAAUUAUUGGAUUUCUGUUGUCUCCAUUGAACUAUCUAGGCAUGACCUUCAUCUUGCGGAAUGAUACCUUUCUAAGCUUAUGGAGGUCACCUAACCAGCUGAUGAUCUGUUUUUAAGAUCAUUGCCGCGUGAAACUUCAGUUCUGUAAGCUCAUAACUUGUAUAGAUUCGCAAAUGGUUGCUUCCUUUAAUGCCAAAGAAGGAAUUCAGAAACAUUCAUGAAUUACCUAAUAAAAAUAAUAGUUUGUAUAAUUUCUUUGCAGGAAAUUCUGCUGCAAGUCCACAACUUAUUGAAAUAAAGAUCACCAGUGAUGCAACUUUUUGCCAAUGUCUCUGAAGUUAUAAACUAAGACAAGCAGAAUUGGAGGGUCAUGACAUUUGAUGUUGAGAUCCAGCACUGAUAUAUCUGCACACAUAGGCUUUCUCAAAAGGUGGUUGGGUUGGCUAAGCAGCAGCUCCUUUGAAGAUGAGAAAGUUGAGUGUCUCCAGGCAGAAGUAGAUGAAGGUGCCCUUUGUGUGGGUGAAGAAGCACCCAAAGUUGGAACCCACCACACAUUGCCAUCCAGG